rnacentral:rRNA from 1 species
UGGGGAAUUUUGGACAAUGGGCGAAAGCCUGAUCCAGCAAUGCCGCGUGUGUGAAGAAGGCCUUCGGGUUGUAAAGCACUUUUGUCCGGAAAGAAAUCCUUGGCUCUAAUACAGUCGGGGGAUGACGGUACCGGAAGAAUAAGCACCGGCUAACUACGUGCCAGCAGCCGCGGUAAUACGUAGGGUGCAAGCGUUAAUCGGAAUUACUGGGCGUAAAGCGUGCGCAGGCGGUUUGCUAAGACCGAUGUGAAAUCCCCGGGCUCAACCUGGGAACUGCAUUGGUGACUGGCAGGCUAGAGUAUGGCAGAGGGGGGUAGAAUUCCACGUGUAGCAGUGAAAUGCGUAGAGAUGUGGAGGAAUACCGAUGGCGAAGGCAGCCCCCUGGGCCAAUACUGACGCUCAUGCACGAAAGCGUGGGGGAGCAAACAGGAUUAGAUACCCUGGUAGUCCACGCCCUAAAACGAUGUCAACUAGUUGUUGGGGAUUCAUUUCCUUAGUAACGUAGCUAACGCGUGAAGUUGACCGCCUGGGGAGUACGGUCGCAAGAUUAAAACUCAAAUGAAUUGACGGGGUCAUAGCUGUUUCC